CAAUAGCGUAUAUUUAAGUUGCUGCAGUUAAAAAGCUCGUAGUUGGAUUUCGGGUGGGAAUGGCCGGUCCGCCGUUUCGGUGUGCACUUGCUACGCCCACCUUGCUGCCGGGGACGUGCUCUUGAGUUCACGCUCGGGACACGGAGUCGGCGAGGUUACUUUGAGUAAAUUAGAGUGUUCAAAGCAGGCCUACGCUCUGAAUACAUUAGCAUGGAAUAACACGAUAGGACUCUGGCCUAUCUUGUUGGUCUGUAGGACCGGAGUAAUGAUUAAGAGGGACAGUCGGAGGCAUUCGUAUUUCAUUGUCAGAGGUGAAAUUCUUGGAUUUAUGAAAGACGAACUACUGCGAAAGCAUUUGCCAAGGAUGUUUUCAUUAA
rnacentral:rRNA from 1 species